rnacentral:rRNA from 1 species
UGCGUAGGCGGUUUGGUAAGUCUGAUGUGAAAUACUAUGGGCUCAACUCAUAGUCUGCAUCGGAAACUGCCGGGCUGGAGUGUGGGAGAGGUGAGUGGAAUUUCCGGUGUAGCGGUGAAAUGCGUAGAUAUCGGAAGGAACACCUGUGGCGAAAGCGGCUCGACUGGACCACAACUGGACGCUGAUGCACGAAAGCUAGGGGAGCAAACAGGAUUAGAUACCCUGGUAGUCCUAGCCCUAAACGAUGACUGCUUGGUGUGACGGGUACCCAAUCCCGCCGUGCCGUAGCUAACGCGUUAAGCAGUCCGCCUGGGGAGUACGGUCGCAAGGCUGAA